rnacentral:lncRNA from 1 species
CUCAAGCAGUGUCUCAUCUAGAGUUUGCUCCAUAAAGGAAACUAAGAGCUUACUGUACUGUGAAUAUUUCAGACGCUUAAAAUUUCGGACACUUAAAAAUUUCAGACAGUUUGAAUUUCGGACACCUUUUGUCCGAAAUUGAAAUCGUCCUAAUUUUUUUGCAAUUAUUAUGGUACAAUUGUUACUUCGUAACUAUUAUUUCAUGUAUGUGUUUAGUAACUAUUCUAUUCUUCAAUAUUUAGCCCUAAAAAUGACUUUUUCUGCUCUAUUGCAGUGUCUAAAAAGGCUAGCAGAAUAUAUAAAUGAACAGAACCAGAGUGUCUUUGUUCCAAGGGGACUGAUGAUUACUAACCCCAUGGACAGAGGACUUCGAGUUAUUGAAAUUGUGGUGGUUAACCCAUUAGAUCAGAGGUGACCAAUGAAAUCUGUCUCCAGUCCUUUGUACAUAAAUUGAUUCAGUGUGGCACUGAAUUCUGCUACUCCCAGGGACUACCAAGAGUAGCACAGAAUCUGAAAUAAGUCUGUUGGUUAUAUUCCAGCAUGCCUGCUAUAAAGCUCCUCAUAAUUAAAAUAUGUAGUAAGCUUUCUGUUUAAAACAUAUAGUUAAAAAAAACACUCUCCUUGUCAAGUCAUUAAUUAUAUAUAAAGAAAAUCAAAUCAGACAAUAAUAUUUAUCCUAAUUUGCGAUUAAAUAUUUUGCUUUAAUUUUGUUGGCCAAAAUAGGUUACAUCUGUGACUGUUUUUUCAGAUCUUUGAUACCCCUUAUUCCAAUUAGAAUUGAAGGGCUAAGUCAAGUUGAUAAGCAAUAUAUUUCAAAUGGAGAGUAGGUUCCAAUUGGAAGCAAUGCAGGCAAUGAGCUAGUGAAUGUGGACAAAAUGCGAGUAAAGGGGUAACAAUGGCAGCCUCCCACAAGCUGAUCCCCCCUCCCCCAGCAUCUGUCACACUGAUCUCUCAGUGGGGAAUAAAUAUGACAAAGAGAACUUUAAUAUCUGAACACAGGACCUCCCAGGAACCGAGAGGUGGUGGGUGGGGACAAACUGAGGGCAAAAAAGCAGCAAUGCUACUCAAAGAGAAACCACCAAGUCAAAUCUACAAGGCCAUGAUUCAAAUGUGCAUGUGCAAGGCAAUCACCUGCUGGUUGAAAACAAAUCUCCUUCCAUAUAAACUAUGAUUAUUGGAAAUCUCAUUAAAUUUAUUCAAACUUUUUCUCCUUUAACUAAGUCUGUUAGUGAAAUUCCAAUAUGGUCACUGUUCUCCUUAUGAUACGGUGUAUAUUAAUUUACUGAUAAAGUGUGGUGUCCAAAAUCAUCUGUUCUAUAUAACUUGGUAAGUAAAUACAGACUAAAAAAAACUAUCAAUGGUAAAUUUCAAAAUUUAGACCUUCUUUUGUAUUUAGUUCUUGCGGAUAUAAUUUCUGGAUCAUUUUAGCCAUCAGUUGAGGGAGCAUCCAUUAUUUAAUUAAUUAUUUUUCAUGGCUUAUUCCUUGGAUCAUCUGGGUUUUAGUUAUGAGUUGCACCGUACAUAUAGAAUGCCAAAAUAUUAAUUUUGUAUAAGUGUUAUUUUGUUUAUACAAAUUUGAUAGAAUAGUUAGCGAGUUGUGAAAUUUGUAUAUUACUUUGCUUUUAGGAGAAAGAGAAUGUGUAAUGCAAUAAAAUUAAGUCACAGGCAUUUUCAGACCCAUGGGAAGUGUUAUUUAUACCAUACUAAUUGUCAGGGCUUGAAGUGUAUUUGUGAAUACUUUACAAUAUUGAUACUGGCUUAAAUUGUCAAGGAAUAUUAAAUACCGUAUUGAAUUAGUCAAGGAAUGUUGAACAUUGGAUUAAAACCAGGAAUAUUAGAGUAAGUCAAAUUAUUCCCACAUUUUGAUUGGUUUCCACUUAUGGUGCUUUGGAGGACAGACCCACAGAUGACAUCAUGGAUUCCCUUUUUUGUUUCUUUACUAUAUAAAACAAGUAGUCUGUAGAUUCCAUGUUGCUAUGCAUCUGUGGUACAUUCUUACCACAUUUUAACAUCAUCUGUGAUGUAUUAUUUUAGGCAACAUGGAAGAUAUUUGUCUAUUGAAUACCUUUGUACAUGUAAGUACCACAUCAGGCAAUAAUCAUCUUUAUUCUGGCCUGAAAAUAGAGAUUGGUUUCUCAUGGAAAAUUGGAUUGGUAUGAUGCAUAGUAUUUAGCUUCAACGCCAAAUGAUAAGCAGUGUAUGUGAUUUCACGAUCAUGCAGUCAAAUCUGUAUUAAGUAGACAUGCUCAGGGAAUGCCCCCAUGUCCACUUAAUUAUACAGUUUUCAAAUGAAGACACUACAACCAAAAAUAUUUCUGCUAAAAAAAACAAACUCUAAGCUGUCAGUAGUGGAAUGCCAAAUAACUAAGAGCAACAAGGGUAUAAGGAACUGUUUCUUUUUCUGCCAUAUUGUAGGAGCUUAAUGCCUUUGAUUAGAAAAUACUAGUUACAUUUAUUUUCUUUUGAUGAUUCAACUUUCAUGUACUAUAUGGCAUUUAGCAAACGCUACUGAUACAAGCUAAGCUGUCAGUGAAGACUGUUUUAGAAAUUCAGCCCACAAACACACAGUUGUUCAGGGUUCAAAUUUACAUGGGCUUGGGAUGAAAGGAUUGGUAUGUUGAUCAUUGUCAGUAAUUCAAGGGGAGAAUUAUGUAACAGCUGAUCAUUUUACAAGAUUUAGGUCUUUUGCAUGCAUUGAACAUUGAAGAGUAAUAAGAAUGAGCCAAACAAAAUGUGUAAGAAACAUUUAAGAUUAAUUUUCCAUUUGACCAUAGUAGUAAAUGACCUACUGUUUUUCAUCAUUGAAGCCGAUGUACACAUAAUUAUAUGUCAGUAACAAAUAAAACCAAUUUUUCCAGUGUUACAGGUA